ACGGAGGAUCCAAGCGUUAUCCGGAAUCAUUGGGUUUAAAGGGUCCGUAGGCGGGACAAUAAGUCAGUGGUGAAAGUCUGUGGCUCAACCAUAGAAUUGCCAUUGAAACUGUUGUCCUUGAGUUAUUGUGAAGUGGUUGGAAUAUGUAGUGUAGCGGUGAAAUGCAUAGAUAUUACAUAGAACACCGAUUGCGAAGGCAGAUCACUAACAAUACACUGACGCUGAUGGACGAAAGCGUAGGUAGCGAACAGG
rnacentral:rRNA from 1 species